AGAGUCCAUAGCAAUUGAUUCACACCUAUAAUACUCAUCACAUUUAUUAAGAGUAACUGGUGUGUUUUACUUCACUGAUGGCCCACAAGAGGGAGAUCUCGAAUAACUCAGUAGUCAAAUACUCAGUGAGAAAAACAGCACCUGUGAUGCUGAGGAAGUUCUGGGCAGCAGGUAGGGACACCUCCCAUAGUCCUCUGAUAUGGAAGCCUAUUCCCUUACUACACAUUCCAGAAUUUAUCACAGAGCCCUGUGACAAACUGAAGAACGUUUCUAAGACAUACAGUUUAGGGUGGGGAUGCAGCUUAACUGAUGGAAUGCUUACCUGGCAUGCACAAGGCUUUGAGUUCAGUUCCCAGCACUGGAUGAAGCAGGCAUGGUGGAGCAUGAUUGUAACCCCAGCUCUCAAAAGGCAGAGAUAGGAUGAUCAGAGUUCAAGGCCAUUCUUAGCUACACAGCCAGCCAGGGCUACAUGAGAUUCUAUUUCUAAAAAAAAGGGAAGAAAAAACAAACAAAAAAACCAAUGUAACUAGACAAAUCUUAGCACCUAGGAAGCUAAUGCAGAGGGCUCAUGAUUUUAAGGCCAUUUUGGCCUAUAUAACGAAUUGAAGGCAGGCCUGCACACACUGAGACCCUGUUUCAGAUAACAAAACAAAGGUUUUAACUUUGUAGAGCUCAUAAUGAACAACAGCCAGGGAGAAGGGGGUCAAGAGCCUAGAUGUGCCAGAGACACAUGGUGUCACUGACAACUGUGCUGGGCACUGGAGUCAUUGCCCCUGGGGAUGGGCAAAGUACAGGGUCUUUGUCCUCCCAGCACGCAGAGACGCUUCUGCAGCCGUGGCUUCUUCUGGAACCAGAAACAGCAUGGCUGGAGACAAGCAGAGCUGUCAGAUCUGCAGUUAAAACCUGCUUUCCCUAAAGACUCAUGCCAUGCACGGUGGUUUUCAAGCUUUUCCACAACUCUUCCCACAGCUUACUAAUUCAUGUCCAUGCAGAUGGGAAGGAUUUUUAAAAAAUGGUCAGGGUCACAUAAGUGGAGAACAAUCUAUGCAAUAAUUAUUUCUUCAAACAAGAAGGAAACAUUCUUUCUGCAUGAUUGCUCAGUAGUGCUUCCCCUCUGAGGUCCAGGCUCUACUGUGUCCACAGCAAUCAUGUGGCCAGCGGCAAAUACCAUGCUUGCCUCAUCAUUGGCACAAAGAGUGUUUGUUAAACUAAUGACCAGAGUCCACUGGGGAUGCCUGGAUAAGCAAACUAUGGUGUAUCCACACAGUUGCAAUAGAGGAGAUCCUGACCCAUGCUCCAGCCAGGGUGAGCCCUAAGGACAUUAUGUUCAGUGAAAUGUGCCAGCCUCAAAAGGACAAAUCCUGUGUCCUUCUGCCUCUCCCAAGUCCCCACGCUUGUCAUCCAUAGCAACAGAAGGCAGGGCUGUGGACCAAUGGGUGAAGAAGCACUUGCUGACAAGCAAGAGGGCUUGUUUCAGAUUUCCAGAGCCCACGUGAACAAGCCAGGUGUGGUAGCAUGUGUCUGCAAUCCCAGGGUUCCUACAGCGAGAUCAGGGGAGCAGAGACAUGAGAACUCCCAGAAGCUCUCUGGGGAAUAUAGUUCGCAGGAAGGAAAUCAGAGAUUUGCAGCUGAGGCAGGAAUGGGUGUGGAUCCUGGUUCUACCACCUAUUAAUGGCAUGCCUGUGGGUUUCUUCUACACCCUUUCCCUGGAGAACUAUAUGAGUUUAACGUGUCCCUCCAAGAUUCAUGUCCACCAUGAAGCAGAGCCUUUGUAAUUUUGAUCAAGUAAAAGGGGGUUACACUGGACUCACAUGGGCCUAAUCCCAUGGCUGGUGAGGGAGGGUGACUUGGAUACAGGCACAGGGCAGAAUGCCCGUGGCAAUGGAGGCAGAGACUCGAGAGAUACAGCCGUGAGCCUAGGAAUUCAGUGCUGCAGAAGAUGGACCAGACGCUGGAGAGGCGAGGAAGGAUUCGGAGGGAGUGUGGUCCUCCUGACCCUGAACUUUGGACUUCUGGCUCCAGAACAGAGAGAGUAUCUAUCUGCUGUUGGAAGCAACCUGGCUUGUUUCAGCAGCCCUGGGAAACUCAUGACCUCGCCUCCUGCCUCUGCUUUGCAGCUUCUGAGGAUGGGUUGCUCCAGUCCACUGCUGGCAGUUUCCAAACCUCCCACUGCUACCCACCUACUAAAUAAAACCCAGAGUGAGUCAA